UAGUCCACGCCGUAAACGAUGGAUACUAGCUGUUCGGACUUCGGUCUGAGUGGCCAAGCGAAAGUGAUAAGUAUCCCACCUGGGGAGUACGUUCGCAAGAAUGAAACUCAAAGGAAUUGACGGGGGCCCGCACAAGCGGUGGAGCAUGUGGUUUAAUUCGAUGAUACGCGAGGAACCUUACCAGGGCUUAAAUGUAGUGCGACAGGGGUGGAAACACCUUUUCCUUCGGGCGCAUUACAAGGUGCUGCAUGGUUGUCGUCAGCUCGUGCCGUGAGGUGUCAGGUUAAGUCCUAUAACGAGCGCAACCCCUGUUGUUGGUUGCCAGCGAGUCAUGUCGGGAACUCUAACAAGACUGCCGGUGCAAACCGUGAGGAAGGUGGGGAUGACGUCAAAUCAUCACGGGCCCUUACGUCCUGGGGCUACACACGUGCUACAAUGGGCCGGUACAGAGAGCAGCCACUGCGUAAGCAGGGAGCGAAUCUAUAAAACCGGGU
rnacentral:rRNA from 1 species